GACGGACGCUGGCGGCGUGCCUAACACAUGCAAGUCGAACGGAAAGGCCCUGCUUUUGUGGGCUGCUCGACUGGCGACCGGGUGAGUAACACGUGAGUACCCUGCCCCUCACUUUGGGAUAUCUUCAUACAACUGGGGCUAAUCCCGCCUAGGAGCUCUUGCUGCUUGGUGGGCGUUGGUAAGUUUCGGUGGUUGGGGAUGGACUCGCGUCGUAUCAGCUUGUUGGAGGGGUAGUGGCUUACCAAGGCUUGGACGGGUAGCCGGCCUGGGAGGGUGAGCGGACAAAUUGGGACGGAGAUACGGCACAGACUCGACCGGGAGGCAGCGGAGGAGAGGAGAGCACAGGGGGCGGGAGGCUGAUGCAGCACCGCCGCGCGGGGUAUGACGGCCUGCGGGUUGUGAAGCAAUGUCGCCUGAGACGAAGCGUGAGUGACGGUAACGGGUAAAGAAGCACCGGCUAACUACGUG
rnacentral:rRNA from 1 species